rnacentral:rRNA from 1 species
UGGGGAAUAUUGGACAAUGGGCGAAAGCCUGAUCCAGCCAUGCCGCGUGUGUGAAGAAGGUCUUCGGAUUGUAAAGCACUUUAAGUUGGGAGGAAGGGCAGUAAGCGAAUACCUUGCUGUUUUGACGUUACCGACAGAAUAAGCACCGGCUAACUCUGUGCCAGCAGCCGCGGUAAUACAGAGGGUGCAAGCGUUAAUCGGAAUUACUGGGCGUAAUGCGCGCGUAGGUGGUUCGUUAAGUUGAAUGUGAAAGCCCCGGGCUCAACCUGGGAACUGCAUCCAAAACUGGCGAGCUAGAGUAGGGCAGAGGGUGGUGGAAUUUCCUGUGUAGCGGUGAAAUGCGUAGAUAUAGGAAGGAACACCAGUGGCGAAGGCGACCACCUGGGCUCAUACUGACACUGAGGUGCGAAAGCGUGGGGAGCAAACAGG